GGCGCCGACCUGCCGCAGCCCGCGCCGCCCCCGCCCCCGCCGCCCGCCGCCCGCCGCCCGCCGCCCGCGUGAGGAGGUCCCCGCGGCCCGGAAGACGCGGGCGGAGCCGUGAAGUCACCUGACCCUCCGGCGCUGCGGGGGGACUCCCGCGAGAUGUCUUACUAUUGGAGCGUCGGACAGUAGCAGAUGUCGCGAGACUCCGGGAUCCAAGUCCGUCCGGGGCGACCGAGUAGUCUCCGUCUGUGGGCGAGUAGUUGGUCACCUUAGCGGUGUGAGGGUGGACGGUGGCCCCUGCACUCCCUAAAUGAUACGAAGGACUUGUUUGUCCCCUGAACCUAAGGACUGGAGAAACAAAAGAAAUAAAAGAGAAGAGAAAAGAGAAGAGAAGAGAACCUUUCCCAUUUGUUCUGUGAAGUCACUCUACUCAUGGAAGCUGGAACAGUGAGUGUAAAUGUUGGCAGGAGAUUCUUUCCACAGCAGACCUGACCACAGCAGACCAGCAGACCUGACCUAACAUGGUGAAUAUAACUAGCAUCAGUAUUUCCUGAGUGCACUUUUAACACCCAAGCCAAAAUGAGAAACCUGGCUAUUUGGCCAAGAUGGCUCAGUUCAGCAACGAAGUCAAGUCCCUACUUACCUGUUAUUUCAUUGUCAGGAACUCAGCCACCACCUGUCCUAUGUAUUCUCAUCCAGGAACAGUUUGAAAACCGGGUUGAUAAAACUGGGGAAAGGGAAAGAAGCCACGAGAAUCCAGAAGUUGGAAGCAUCACUGGACACACCAGGCAGGAAUCCCCCACCAAUCACCUGGGGAUGAUGCUCUCUCGGCCCAACCCACAGGGGUGCACUGACAGGUUUUAA
rnacentral:lncRNA from 1 species